rnacentral:rRNA from 1 species
UACGUAGGGUGCAAGCGUUGUCCGGAAUUAUUGGGCGUAAAGAGCUCGUAGGCGGUUUGUCGCGUCUGCUGUGAAAACUCGGGGCUUAACCCCGGGCCUGCAGUGGGUACGGGCAGACUAGAGUGCGGUAGGGGAGACUGGAAUUCCUGGUGUAGCGGUGAAAUGCGCAGAUGUCAGGAGGAACACCGGUGGCGAAGGCGGGUCUCUGGGCCGAUACUGACGCUGAGGAGCGAAAGCGUGGGGAGCGAACAGG